rnacentral:rRNA from 1 species
UACGUAGGGGGCAAGCGUUGUCCGGAAUUAUUGGGCGUAAAGAGCGUGUAGGCGGCCAGAUAAGUCCGCUGUGAAAUCUCGAGGCUCAACUUCGAGCUGUCGGUGGAAACUGUCUGGCUAGAGUCCGGAAGAGGAGAAUGGAAUUCCUGGUGUAGCGGUGAAAUGCGCAGAUAUCAGGAGGAACACCAAUGGCGAAGGCAGCUCGCUGGGACGUGACUGACGCUGAGACGCGAAAGCGUGGGGAGCAAACAGG